GUCCACGCCGUAAACGUUGGGCACUAGGUGUGGGUCUCAACCAACGAGAUCCGCGCCGUCGCUAACGCAUUAAGUGCCCCGCCUGGGGGAGUACGGCCGCAAGGCUAAAACUCAAAGGAAUUGACGGGGGCCCGCACAAGCAGCGGAGCGUGUUGCUUAAUUCGAUGCUACGCGAAGAACCUUACCUGGGUUUGACAUGUACGGAAAAGCUCUGGAGACAGGGUGUCCUAACGGGCCGUACACAGGUGGUGCAUGGCUGUCGU
rnacentral:rRNA from 1 species